AAUUUUAAAAAAUAAAUUUUGAUUUAUUUUAGUCUUCCGAUGUCUGAUCUUGAAAAAGUUUCAAGAUCUAACCCUGAAAUUCUAGAUCUGGUUCCUUCAUUUGGUCUCCUAUAAAAUCUAACAGCCAGCAACCAAAUCCGGCCAUCAAAAGCUUCAGGGGGUUUGGAAAAGGAAAGAAGAAGAAGAAGUGCUCCUUACCUUAUCUCCGAUGAGAAAUCGACAAUGAAUCGUCGAAGGAUUUUGAUGGAAAUCUAGAGAAGAUCUUAUGGAUUUCACCAACAAUUUGAUUAGGGAGUUAGACAAAGUAUUGAGGAGGAUGGGGGAA
rnacentral:lncRNA from 1 species